CUGCUGUGUGCUCUGCUCUAUCCCUUGUCUGUAACUCCAAGAGCCAGAUUUAUGAAGUAAGACUGACACCAGAUUUUGAGCCAUGUAAACUGCAUGAUGUAGCCGCAGACUCCAUAACCAUCCAUCUGUACGGUCUCAGAGGAGCCGAGCCAGGCACCCUCAGGAGCCCUCUACUCAUCACUCUCUCUCCUGCCUGGGUUCUGAUCACUCCCA